rnacentral:rRNA from 1 species
CAGCAGCCGCGGGAAUACGAAGGGUGCAAGCGUUAACCGGAAUUACUGGGCGUAAAGCGCGCGUAGGUGGUUUGUUAAGUUGGAUGUGAAAUCCCCGGGCUCAACCUGGGAACUGCAUUCAAAACUGACUGACUAGAGUAUGGUAGAGGGUGGUGGAAUUUCCUGUGUAGCGGUGAAAUGCGUAGAUAUAGGAAGGAACACCAGUGGCGGAGGCGACCACCUGGACUAAUACUGACACUGAGGUGCGAAAGCGUGGGGAGCAAACAGGAUUAGAUACCCCAGUAGUCCCUGUCUCUUAUAC